rnacentral:tRNA from 3 species
AGGGAGUUAGUCCAAAAAAGACCUCUGAUUUCGGCUCAGAAAAUCACAGUUAAAGUCCGUGACACCCUU